rnacentral:rRNA from 1 species
GACGAACGCUGGCGGCGUGCUUAACACAUGCAAGUCGAACGGAAAGGCCCUGCUUUUGUGGGGUGCUCGAGUGGCGAACGGAUGAGUAACACGUGAGUAACCUGCCCUUGACUUUGGGAUAACUUCAGGAAACUGGGGCUAAUACCGGAUAGGAGCUCCUGCUGCAUGGUGGGGGUUGGAAAGUUUCGGCGGUUGGGGAUGGACUCGCGGCUUAUCAGCUUGUUGGUGGGGUAGUGGCUUACCAAGGCUUUGACGGGUAGCCGGCCUGAGAGGGUGACCGGCCACAUUGGGACUGAGAUGCGGCCCAGACUCAUACGGGAGGCAGCAGUGGGGAAUAUUGCACAAUGGGCGGAAGCCUGAUGCAGCAACGCCGCGUGCGGGAUGACGGCCUUCGGGUUGUAAACCGCUUUCGCCUGUGACGAAGCGUGAGUGACGGUAAUGGGUAAAGAAGCACCGGCUAACUACGUG